UACGUAGGGUGCGAGCGUUGUCCGGAAUUAUUGGGCGUAAAGAGCUCGUAGGCGGUCUGUCGCGUCGGCUGUGAAAACUCGGGGCUCAACUCCGAGCCUGCAGUCGAUACGGGCAGACUAGAGUGCUGUAGGGGAGACUGGAAUUCCUGGUGUAGCGGUGAAAUGCGCAGAUAUCAGGAGGAACACCGGUGGCGAAGGCAGGUCACUGGGCCGCAACUGACGCUGAGGAGCGAAAGCAUGGGGAGCGAACAGG
rnacentral:rRNA from 1 species